CGUUUCAGCCUAAAUGUCGAACACGGCUGUUUCUUCGAUCCAUCCGGGAAUCAGCGGCUUCACGUUUUCACUUGCGCGUAUGUGUAUCAUAUACGACUGAAACGAGCGUUGAAGGAGAAAAUGGUUAGCCGUCAUUUUGGUUAAGGAAACGUCAGCCAGACACUCUUUAUCAUCUUCUCCGUUUUCCGAUCCGCCAAGCAAAGGUCGCAUUUCCAACAGCCGGAAACCAAGUAACCAUUGCAAAUAUCAACCGAGACAACGGCAACCAUUAGGUAAUGCAAUUCGUUACAAUCCCAUCGUGAGAAAGACGGAACGCGAUGUGAUGGAUACCAAAGAUUCGCACCUUACAUCUUUAUGUUAUAUAUGUAUAUAUAUACCGGGAAAUAUACAGUGUGUUAUAUA
rnacentral:lncRNA from 1 species